UUAAGUUCAGCGGGUAUUCCUACCUGAUCCGAGGUCAACCACUAGAUAUAUAAGGUUUCACUUGGCUGUGCCGCGCGAACACCCCCUAAAAGUGAGAACAUAAUUACUACACUUCAAGGCGACGCGAGCCCUGCCACGAAAUUUAAGGGGUUGCGCCGCGAGGACGCAAGCCCCCAACGCUAAACAACUAAGGCUUAGGG
rnacentral:misc_RNA from 1 species